AACACUCUCCCGUAUCAAUCAAUCAAAGAAAAGGAAGGAAAAGGAAAAUGAAAAUCACGCAACGCACACCGCACCUCUCCAUCCAGAAUCCCCAACCACCCACGCCUCGAUCCUCGCCGGCGAAUGCGACCCACCUCCGCGCCGUCAACAACCGGCCGUCGACCUCCACCCUCGCGUCCUUCAUUGCGCCCGGAGGCCAACUCCAUCUCCGCCCGCCGUCCUCUGGGGGUCCUUCACCGUCAGCGCCGCGCUCCGGGAAGACGUUCAUCACCUGGGCACGCCUCCAUCGGCGAGCUCCUGCCCUGCCCCGCCACGCCGCCCAUCCGGAGAACCAAGGCCGCUUCAGUUCACCCAGCCACCGCGCCACUAUCCUACUCACCGGACCCCUGCCGGCCGCCUCCACAAGCCGGUGAGGAGUAGGAGAAGCUUGGGACGGAUGGAUCGAUGGUGGUGCAGCUCGAGGCGGCGGCGAGGGGCGACGGCUUGCUCAGUUGCUCUACCUACCACUCGGACGAUGACGACGACGGGAACUGCAGAUACUGCUACGGCUUGCUGCUACCAAGGAUUAUCUUAAAGAGAAGCUGCAACCCUACAGAAGCAUCGUAGAAGAUAAGGUCUCCGCGGUGAACCAUUCCCAGGAAGUGAAGGUGAAGAGUAAAAACGUACUGCCUAUUUUUACGACUUACGACCCGUGUGGCCUGUUUUAUACAGUACCAAGGUUAUACUAUCUUCGCUAUUUAUGGCUUGUGUUCGUCUACAUGGUCCUUCAUGGUGUAAUUAUGUCAAUCAAAUAUUUAGAUAACUAUUGAGCUUUGUUUAGGAUUAGUGUUGCUGAAAGAAUGAUCAUCAUUUAGGAUUGGACUUGAUGCAUCUAUUCAUUUAAGAUUGAUCAUCAUAUUCUUUACGCCAUAAUACGUAAGAUAGUUUUCUUAGUUCAUGCUGAUCAAUGUUCACAUUUGUACUCGUUGCUGUCUCCGUAUGAUUUUUGCAGAAGUAUAAUCCUGCCAUGUUCAAAUGUUUUGUUCAGUUCACUAUCUAGGCUAUGCAUGGCCUGUCGUACUGGAAUGCUUAAUUUGCAAGACAAAAUAUGCAAAAAUCUGGUUCUCAGUUAAAAUGCUGAUGAAACAAUAAAUGCUAUGCUUUGGUAGUUCCUUCAGUUUUCUAGCUAAGCUAGUCAUGUUGAAUGCUAUCUGCAGCAUGGUCAUGAAAGUCUUAAUCUUCCUAGACUUGAUAUUUAUAGAGUAUUGGCAAUGAAUCUCUACUACGAAAAGCCUUUACUAGUAGUUUCUUUGUUAGCUCAGUCUGAAGGUUUAACUUUUACUACUUGUUUGGUGGAUCUUUACCAUCCACUAUUCCCAAGAAUUCAUUCCUAGUUAUGUAUGCCUCCUAUUCAAGCUCAUAGUAUUGUUACUUUUCCUGUUAACUUUCUAUUUAUCUUUCUUCUUUUUUUAUAAGGAUCGAGGAAGCAUUCAACAAUUAUAGUGCAAGAAUAAACAAUGUACAUAAAUGUUUACAGGGCCGUUUAGUAGAUCCACUGUAGUAGAACAACAAUUUUGGGUGCAAUGUCAACAAAGGUUUGUUUUCUGCCUGUAGAUCAUUUAUUUUAUGGUAGAAAGGAUGAUUAUGCAUGAUGUUAAGGUGCAUCCAUUUUAGUGAGUUUUAGAUAAGCUUGGUCAUUUUGAAGUUCCACAUGAUUUCCUCAUUUUCCAAAUUUGAGUACUUGCAUCACAGAUAGUUCAACUCUAUUUUGGGGCAUUGAUUAUGCGUGUAAGCAAAAGUGUAACAUCUUUACCAGUAUAACCCAAUUAGCCAUGAUGUCUUAUUUGGCAUGAUCUCUUUUAUUUUAUGGUUCAUUUUUCUGCUAUUUCACCAAUCAUAGCACCUUCAUCUUGGUUCACAUAAUGAGUUGUCGAAUUGGGCUCCCAAAUCCAGAGUUCCAUUGUUUGUACGAAGUCCCAAUUUCAGUCCUUUGUCAACUCUUGUCCAAACUGUACCUUCUUAUGGUUCACUACUAACUGAUUUAGUGCAAAGGGUGUUUUUUUGACUGACUUUCAUUUGCUACCUCCUCAUCGCUGCAUGCGAUUGCCAUUUACGAGCUGCUGCUGUACUAGCCACAGCCGGCCCUUGGCUUCGACUACCCGGCCUUGGUCCGCGACGCAACCGCGGUGGUGAUGCUCUGCCUCGGCUACAAGCUAUUCAGGUGGUGGCGAAUGGACAAACGAGACGCCGGCGGAGCCUUGUUCUUGGACCUGCGUUGGUAGAUAGCCGGUUGGGACUGACACGACGCCGGG